rnacentral:rRNA from 1 species
GAUCCUGGCUCAGGACGAACGCUGGCGGCGUGCUUAACACAUGCAAGUCGAACGAAGAGCGAUGGAAGCUUGCUUCUAUCAAUCUUAGUGGCGAACGGGUGAGUAACGCGUAAUCAACCUGCCCUUNAGAGGGGGACGAACAGUUGGAAACGACUGCUAAUACCGCAUACGAUCUAAACUCGGCAUCGAGGAUAGAUGAAAGGUGGCCUCUACAUGUAAGCUAUCACUGAAGGAGGGG